GGAAAUAGCUCAGUGGUAGAGCAUGUGCUUGGCAUACAUGAGGUCCUGGGUUCACUCCCCAAUACCUCCG
rnacentral:tRNA from 1 species